AUGCGGCUGAGAAAGCAGACAAGAAAGAGCAGAGUAAAUUCAACUGCAUAUUUUCUGUAUUUGCUAGAAAAUGAGCAGAUGGUCCCCCACUAUACCACACUGAUAGCUUCUCAAAGAUUAUACAUAUAUGUUACAUGCAAACAGGCACAGUUAGCAUGUCAUCACAGCUUCAAAUACCAGAGUACCUAUAUCCUCAGAAGAUACAUGCAAACAGAUUUGUCAAUGGUACAUCUAUAACGACAAC